rnacentral:lncRNA from 1 species
AUAAAUAAGUGGUGACAUGCAACACAUUUAAAAGAGUGUAAUUUCUAAUUGUUUUGGCCCACCUGACUGUUUAGAUGAUUGGGAUCAGGCCGUCAGGAGGAACAAGAGGGCGGAGACAAAGUCCUGUGUGGAGACAGGAAAUGAGGACAUAGGGAGGCGCAUCAUAGUCAAACCCCAAAAAUGUGAAAAGAGAACAAAGAAACGAAAUGGGAAAAAGGCAGGACAAGGUCCACAUUUCAGGACUUCCCUUCCUCCUCCACCCCAGAUAGAAUCCCCCAUUCCACGGCGUAGCGCACUACAAAUAUCUUCACCCCCUGUGACUGAUGACGAUUACUCCCCUCCUUCACCGGCAAGAGACGUUUUUACAGAAAAUGAUGGGUCGGAUGGAACGGCAGGCGGAAGAACAUCCCCAAAAUUAAAUUCAAAAUGAUUUGAAAUAAAAAUAUAAUAAAUUGAUAUUUGUUAGUGUACUGUCUUGUCUUUUGAAUAGGCUUGGGGUCAACAUUAGCAACAGCCACCAGCCAAAAUGUAGGUAAAAUAUUCA